rnacentral:rRNA from 1 species
UACGGAGGGGGUUAGCGUUGUUCGGAAUUACUGGGCGUAAAGCGCACGUAGGCGGAUCAGAAAGUUGGGGGGUGAAAUCCCGGGGCUCAACCCCGGAACUGCCUCCAAAACUCCUGGUCUUGAGUUCGAGAGAGGUGAGUGGAAUUCCGAGUGUAGAGGUGAAAUUCGUAGAUAUUCGGAGGAACACCAGUGGCGAAGGCGGCUAGCACUCGGUGCUGAUACUGAGCUGAGGUGCGAAAGUGUGGGGAGCAAACAGGAUUAGAUACCCGUGUAGUCC